UUCCACGUCUUCUAGCGGCCCAGGAACCAUCUUAAUCGAUGGAACGCGAGUUCGAAUCUCGCCGUGGAAAC
rnacentral:tRNA from 1 species